UCGGUUAUUAAGCGUUGCCAUUGUUUAUUUAUAGUUGAUCGUGUAUUUUUUUCUAUCGUCCAAUUUCAUAUCUGCUAGUGGAACGUUUUGUAUAUAUUUUUUGUCAAAUGCACAGUGGACUGUUUUGCACAUGGUUUUGGUUAUUGUCUUAAUUUACAUUUUUUGUUUUAUUAACUUUUACAUUUGACUGAUGAUUAUAACAAUUUUGGGCCUCUUAAUGAAUGCAGCUGUUAUCCAUUUGAAAAUUUUAUGAAAGAAUUUAAGUCAGUACUCAGAAAAUGUGAAAAACCAUUGCAGCAAUUUAUCCAUAGAUAUGAGGAACAAUGCAAUAAUGUAAAGAAAAAUUUAGACUUUUAUGAACAAGCAAAAAGCAAAGAAAAAAAAUAGCACAGGAAUCUUCAGAUUUAUCACUAAUUGAAAUUAUGAAAGAAACGAGAAAAAACAGAGCUAGAAUAGAAUUUUCUCCUUUUCCUAAAAAGGCUCAAAGAUAAACCAAAAAUAAAAUCUCACCUUCUAAAGCUUUUAGUUAAUCCAAUCUAAUAUUAUAAAUUGUUAAAACAAAUAUUGAACACAUGUUUAUUUAUCAUUU